rnacentral:lncRNA from 1 species
AUUUACCACAUGGGAAGUAAAGGUUGUUAAGCUACUAAGAAAUCAAAUGGUACAUAUGAGAUUUAUUUAAUUACUCCAAAGAAUGAUCUAUUAUAUUACCCUUGAAAACCAUUCUAAAUGACGUAGAAUCCAUUUAGUUUUCUGCUGAAUUAUGUAGCAUUACCAACAAUUUAACAGACACAUGAAAAUGUGUGGAGAAACACUAAAAAACAGAAGUUUUAUUGAGUUAAAUAUUAAGAUAAGUGACAGUAAAUUUUAAAAUAUUCAAUUUACUUCCAGAGGAACAUUUUUCCAUAUGUGACAAUUGGCUGCUGACUUUAGCACUGGAAUAAGACAGAAAUCAGAGAACCUAAUUAAAGAGCUAAGAGAACAUCUGGAAAUUCAGGAAAUAUUGCUUAGAUAGUAAAGAUGCUUUGUAAUUUUUAUCAUAUAUAAUAGUGCUGCCCUAAAAAACAUUUAACCUUCUUACUUUGGGGCAAAAGGUAGGACAAUAGUCAAUUUUAUAUCUCCUUGUACAUAUUUUUAUCUUUGAAUCCCCAGCACUGAAGUCCAUGUUCUAUGAAUAAUUGUUGAAUAAAUGAUUUAAUGAAAAGUAAUAAUAAGGAACCUAUCUUUAUGCUGAAUUUAUAUAAAUCAUUGUAAGCAUUUUUGCCUACAAGAAGUUGGUAGAUUCUUACCCUAUCUUUACCAAAGACAUAAUAAUUCCCUCCUAACAUAUAGUUCCACCAUCAAGUGCCAUUUUUAUUUAAAUACAGUCAUGAUUUGCAACUGUAACUUUUUUAAACUUCCUGAGACAAUAUCCUAAACUAUUGAAAUAUAUACUAGAGCUCUUCUAGCAGAAUUUUGUAUGACAUAUAUUUUCUCCAAAAAUAUAUAUAUUUCUUAUAGAAAAUUUUUUAUAAAAACAAGAAAAUAAAACUCCAUUUUACCAUCUAGAAACAAUAAUGGUGAGAUCUACUUUUGGAAUACGUACAUAAUGAGACCAAACUAUGUAAAAAAUUUUCUGCCUUUCUCUUUUCACUGAAUAUUAUGAUAGAAACCUUUUAUCAUGCUACUAAAACUUCUCAUAAAUGUUGUCUUUAAAUAUAAUGAAAUAAUCUAGAAUGGAGAGCUAUGGUAAUUACUUUAACCAUUAUGUUACAUGAUUUGCUAUUUUUAGUUCCUUUGGAAACAAAUCUGACUAGCAUCCAUGAGGAUGCAGGUUCGACCCUGGUCUUGCUCAGUGGAUUAAGGAUCCGGCGUUGCUGUUAGCUGUGGUGUAGGUUGCAGAUGUGGCUCAGAUCCUGCAUUGCUGUGGCUGUAGUGUAGGCCGGCGGCUACAGCUCCGAUUUGACGCCUAGCCUGGGAACCUCCAUAUGCCACGGGUGUGGCC